AUGCAAGCAUAAAUCCAAGUGGUGUCUCCGAGAACAAAUGUCCUCGUGCACGAGCGGAAUGCCUGGAGACUCAAGCUCGGAACAGCUGCCGGCACUUCGUCCACGUCUGAUUAGACGAAAGCAAAAAUAUGUUCCCAAGUAAGAUGUUAUCGUUUCAAAUCAUAGUCGUUCCUCGGCCCGGGCCAGCCAUUCCUCUCGCGGGACGACCCAGCUGUUCCGUAAAAUCGAGCCAUAGAGGCCUUUCGACGCACGUCCGUCGACAGGCAUAGCUAAAUCGAUAGAUUUUACAAGGAAACUCGAGGAUUGCUGAUAGAAGGAAAAAGGAGAUGAUAAUUUUAAUCUCUAUGGUAUAACAAUGUAAAUAGUAUAGUUGCGCAUUUUGUAGCGUAUGCUUUGCAUAAUCUAACACGUAUUCCAUCAUUACGUGAGAAAUUCAAUUAUGUUCCUUAAUGCAAGGUUAUCUUAUUUACGUUUUGUUUUUUAAUGCGAGAUACACACAACGUUGUGCGAUGCAAAAAGCGAGACACGAGUGAGUAAGUGAUCGUGAGGUGAAGCGGAUUCUUGCAUUAACUAACGCGUUUAUUUCUAAUGAGGCUUAUGUAAUGUACUCUUAUAGUAGUAAUUUACCUGCUGCUCCACUUAAAACGCAAAGGAGAUCGCGAUAAAAAUACCUCGCACAGUUUGUCAAUUUCAUUGUGCUGAUUUGUUGCGAUUUUAUUGCAUACGUGAUUCAUUCUUUUCACCGCGACUAUAUUAACAAUUCAUAAAAAAAGGUGCAAUAUAUCGACGCAUAUUAAACUUCGUUCAGUUAUUGCGAUUAAUGCAAUCGCGGAAAGAACUUCUUUGACAUUAUGUAUAAUAUAUAGCAGAAAUAAAAAUUUCCAACAC